CGAAUUAGCUGCCUCAUCUUCAACUUAAAGGUAAAUUUUGGUGGAAUUUGAGUUGAAAUUGAGUGAGUUUGAGUGGGAAGAUGAGGUUUUGAGAGAAAGAAAAAGGGUGUUUGGUUGGCAAGAAAGUGAGAGAAAAUUUUUGGAUUUGGAAAGGGAUGGGUUCUUUGUUUUUACUUCUUUAUUGUUCUUUAUUGAGUAGAUGUUGACGGUACAAGCAUUAUAAUUAAGAUUUUCAACGGCAAAUAUAGAGAAAUAGAAGCAAACUUUGAUUUAGAGUAUGCAACAGCAUUUUUUGGUACUUUUCUUAGUUUUUUGUGGGGAAGCAUUAGAUACUAAUUAAGGUUUGUGGUCUGAACAGUAGCUAAAACCUUAACCAUAGUUUGAGGUUUCUUUUCUGGAACCAUUCAUGGUAAUUUCAGGCAGAGAUUGUGCAUCAUAUGCAGCAUGUCCGUGUCUCUUCAAUAGAAAGCUUUCAAGUUUGCAGUCUUACAAUGUAAUGAUUUGGUAAAGCAUUACAAUUUGUAGAUGUUCUGUCAUUUUUUGCACUCCUAUAUUUUCCUUAAUUAAUUAAUGGAAAAACUUGAGGUUCGCACUGCUCUAACAUUUGCUCUAUUUGCUCAUAAGCAUGUUGAUAUUGCAAUAUCCAGGUGAUAUGUAAUUUUCACCUUAUUUUUUUAUUUCAGCAUUUUUCUGGGUACUAUUUCAUACACACAAGGGCUUGCACUCAUGCUUUUUUAUCCUUCGAUAAACUUUGUAUCCAAAUAUCCUUUUCUUACCCAAUUAAAGAAGAGAGCAUGCUAAUGAUAAGUUUGCUUGCUUUUGAUGUAACAGGCCAUGCUGGUAGUGCCCAGGAUGCAGUAAAUAUUAUUUCUAGUUGAUAUAAUGGAUUGAGUAUGCAUUCAUUUCAGUUGUUUCAUGAAGAUAGAGUGAAUUCUAUUAAAUUGGCUCUUCCCUUGUUUUUUUAUAUUUAUUUUAAGGUAUUAUUAUGAAGAUUCUAUUAAACUUUAUUUUCAUUCGUUUUCUUUUACGAAAUUAAAAAUUAUACCCAAUUGGAAUUAUACACUACUCGUCCUUGAGAGAAUUAUGUAGACAGACAAAAGAAUAAAAGAAAUUUAGAGAAACUCAUGUGUUAGGAAGAGCUAGCCUAGGGAUGAAAGAAUUAUG
rnacentral:lncRNA from 1 species